UUAGUUUAAUUCUAACUAAAAAAUUAGUACUAUUAAUAAACUUUAUGCUCAAUAUUUAGUAAAUCAUUAAAAUAUAAAUAUUUAAAUAUAUACAUAUUUUUAGCAGAAGUUAAAAUUAUUCUAUACGUUAAAGCGUGAAAUGGUCUAAACCAAUUUAUUGGUAAAAUUUGUGCCAGCAACAGCGGUUAUACAAUAGAUAUCUAACAACUAAAAUCUACUAAGGUAAAAUAUACCUUAAUAAAAGGUGAAAUUUCUUUAAUCAAUUAAGUAUUAACAUUACCAAAAAUAAACUAUAAACCAAAACAAGGAUUAGAUACCCUUCUAUUAUUAGCUCAGAACUAGAUUGGAGACUACAAGCAAUAGCUUAAAAACCUAAGAAUUUGGCGGUGUUUUAUUCAAUCAGGGGGACCUGUACUUUAAAUCGACAGUCCACGAUAAACUCUAUCUAAUUUUAAUAUACUAGCUUGUGUACUGCCGUCUAAUAAGCCCUUUAGGUAUUCUUAUAAUAAAUAAAAAAUUAUAAGUCAGGUCAUAGUGCAGCCUAUAAUUAGAUAGUAUAUGGGUCACAAUCCUAAUAAUAAGUUAAUAAUAUAAAAUUAAUUUUUAUAAUAAAUUUAGGACUUGAUAGUAAUUAUAGAAUUGUUUAUACUAUAAUGAAUAUGAACUUAAAACAAGUACACAUCGCCCGUCACUCCUUUAUAUAGGAUAAGUCGUAACAUAGUAGAUAUAAUGGAAAUUGUAUCUGU
rnacentral:ncRNA from 1 species